rnacentral:lncRNA from 1 species
AUGGAGGCUACACAAGUAUAGGAGCCUGAAGAAAGUAGGGAGAUCACUAUUCCUGACUCAGAAAACAGGAGCCAUCACAGGACUUCUCCAUCAGUACCUUCUAACAGUUUGAUGGAUGUCAAAAGCUCCUUGGAUUGCCUCCCCUGAUUCCCACAUUGUGGAUUCCACUGUUAAAACAUCCUGUACACGGUCCGGAGCCGAAACACUGAGGUCCCUUUGGAGAUUCCAGCUUUGAAUGGAAAAUGAGCAUCUCUGCGACUUAAAACCACUUCACUGAGCAAUGCCAAAGCUACAGAGACGCAUUGGGUGCCAGUGACAGAAUAUUCGGAUCAUUUUUGGCUAAGAACACCAUCCACUGGAGUAUUAUAGUAACACUGUCACAGAAGAAUUUUUGCUGCCCUUUCUUUUCAGAGACAAUUAAAAGGUGCUGAAGGUAAUAAGGACCAGUUGCUUCAAUGGCACCGAUUGAUUUCAAAGAGAACGCUGCAGAGAUCGUCUGCCAUGUGAAGAGAAUUACAAUUGGACCCAAAG